GCAAGUAAGCUCAGUGGUAGAGCGCAUGAUUUGCAUCCAGAAUGACUCAGGUUAAAUCCCUGGCAUCUCCU